rnacentral:lncRNA from 1 species
AAGGCAUCAAACUCCUUUCUCAUGGCAUCCUACCAUACUGGAACAGAUGCAGCUUGAGAGUAAUAGAGAGGUUCAGAUUCCAGAGAAGAAGAAGAGGAGCCAGAAAAGGCAGGGAGUUGACAGACAUAGUCCUUAAGAUAAGAUGGAGGAUUAUAUUGUCUUCCAGAUUUUCUGGGAGCAGGAGCAGAUGUGGAAGAAGGCAAAUUAGGAGGAGAUGUAUUAGGAUUGAAGGAAGGAAUGGAGGCUGGAUUAGAAGAAGAAGAAGUGGUGGCAGAAGGAGGAGGAGGAGAGGAACAAACAUGUAUCAACAAGUCAGUGUCAGAGAAGGAAGGCUCAAGAGAAGGAACUGAGGGAAAGGAAGAAGGAACAGGAGAUGAAACAUUCUUAAAUGGAAAAGAGGUUUCAUGAAAUACAACAUCCCUGAGAACAAACAGGUAUCAACAAGUCAGUGUCAGAGAAGGAAGGCUCAAGAGGAGGAACUGAGGGAACGGAAGAAGGAACAUGAGAUGAAACAUUCUUAAAAGGAAAGUAGGUUUCAUGAAAUACAACAUCCCUGGAAACAAGGUAUUUCUUUGAAGUAAGGUCAUAAAGUUUAUAACCCUUUUUGGCAAAAGGAUACCCAAUGAAUCAAUUUGUCUCUUUGAGGAAUUGGAACAGUAGCAUAGGCAAGGAACCCAAAUGCUCUCAAAUAAGAGUAGGUUGGUGCCUUUCCAUGUAAAACUUCAAAGGGAGAUUUAUGAUGAAGAAGUCUGGAUGGUAGUCUAUUAAGGAGAUAGGUGGCAGUUAGUAAGCAAUCCCCCAAGAAAGAGAUUGGUAGGCCAGAUUGAAAAAGUAAGGCUCUACAUAUCUCAAGAAGAGUCCUAUUUUUCCCUUCCACAACACCAUUUUGUUGGGGACUAUGAGGACAGGUUGUUUGGUGAAUAAUCCCUUCAUCACUAAAGAAAGAAACACCCUCAAUGCUAGACCCCAGUUCCAAAGCAUUAUCACUUCUAACAAUAUGAACCACAGCAUUAAACUGGGGGCAGAAGGCAUUGCUUUUAGAUCCCAGUAAGUGUGUCCAGGUAGCCCUAGAGAAAUCAUCAACAAUUGUAAGAAAAUAUCUACAGCCAGAAGAAGUAGGAGUGUGAUAGGGGCCCCAAGUGUCCACAUGAAUUAGUUGGAAAGGUCUAGAAGUGGUUAUUGUGCUAUCAAGAAAGGGAAGUCUACUCUGUUUAGCCAUAGGACUGAUAGAACAAGGGAAAGACUUCUUAGAGGCUAAAGGAAAAGACAAUCCCGAAAUGUGUUUCAUAUUUGAAAAUGAAGUAUGAGCAAGUCUCAAAUGCCAGAUGUAAU